rnacentral:rRNA from 1 species
GAUGAACGCUGGCGGCGUGCUUAACACAUGCAAGUCGAGCGGAGCGGCGAACGGGUGAGUAACGCGUGAGUAUCUGCCCCCCUCUCUGGGAUAACAGUUGGAAACGGCUGCCAAUACCGGAUAGUGGGGGAUGACUGGGGUCCUAUCAGCUUGUUGGUGGGGUAGUGGCCUACAAAGGCGACGACGGGUUGCCGGCCUGAGAGGGCGCCCGACCACAAGGGUCUGAGGUACGGGCCCAACGCGUACAGGAGGCAGCGGGCGGGAAUAUUACACAGUAGGGGAAACCGUGAAGCAGCGACGCCGCGGUCGGGAUGACGGCCUUCGGGAUGUAAACCGCUGUCGGCCAUGACGCGGUAGUGGCAGAAGAAGCACCGGCUAACUACGUGCCAGCAGCCGCGGUAAUUC